CCCUCAGUGUCCCGCUGUCUUGUGUUAAAAGCCUCUGGCUGAAGUCGGACCGGCUCCCUCUCCGACUGCGGGCUCGUGAUGAAAGCCAGACCGAAGGAUGUGAGUCACGUUAGAAAAAGUUACCGGCCGACAGCCUUGUUUAUUUUUCCUGAGGGUUGGCGACCAGAAGCAAAGCAAUGCACUGCGUAAACCGACCAACCCCGGAGGCAUCUGCGGUUUCUGGACGGACGCUUGCGGUCGGACGCUUGGACCCGAAACGACCUGGGAGGACGUAGUGUGAUAACCUUGGACUAAGCCGGCUGGAAUCCCAGACCGCGUUUAUUUGUUUGUGGCCGGCGAUAAAAUGCUUAUCAUUAGGGUUCAUUGAUUCUUGAUGUGAGCCCUGGAGCCGAAAAGGGGGGAUUUUUGGAAGUGAAAUAUGAAACAGAUUGCAAAACUGGCAGAUAAUGACGAGCAGCUAUUUGAGAUAUUGCUAUUAGUUGAUGACAUAAGGAUUUUUCCCAUCAGUGUUAAGGGAGUGAGACUGAGGGGUCAAACUUGUUUGCAAUGCGGGGGCCACCUCACUGCUAUGGUUGAGUCGCAAUUAAUGGAACUCCCAUUUUCUGUUCAAGCCUUGUAUAAAAAAAACGGACAAAUAUUUGUAAGUUGUUUUUUGAACAAAAAUAGCAUGGUAUGUUGUCAUUUAUUGAAAAAUAUAUCUAGCUAUCGAUCGAGCUAUCUUUCUAGCAUAAUUAUUAUACUGUCUACACGUUUUGCUGCACCGUUUGUGUUCAAAUAUCCAUUUUAACAAGGCCAGCUUUAUUAGCCCAUGUUUCUUCUUGUAUGUUAGCAUAACAGUCAGUUAUUAGCCAAGACUAAUAACAAUGAACACUGGCAGCAUGUCAUGUUGAAAAACUGUAAUAUUUCGCAUCGCUAUUGUCAUUUCUUUUGUAAAUUACACUCAUCUGCCCCAAGACCUUCUCGCUAACUUUAAACUAAAUAUCAUCCCAACACAGACCUGACCAUUGAACUCAGGGUAGUAAAUUCUCUGCUUGCUAAGGGACCUUGGCGCCACGCUCCCAGAGGACCCCAGCUAUGCCUCUAAUUACGUAUCCUUCUUUAAACAGCAGCUUUUGUGUCGUAUAAAUUUGUGGGCUUAAAGGGGGGAGCGAUGGACUAUUUUGGGGGUCUCUUUGGCCCCUUUGUCGCAUGGUGUUGAAGAAGGGUGUCUGCGAGCUGUGCUGUGAAACUCAACUAAUGACUAUGAUGAGUUGUUUUUUGGAUGGGACACUUUUUACGGGGGUAUUUGAAAAAGCAAUGUUGCUAACAAAAACAGCAGGCAUGUAAAGAGUCUCCAGUAGGCUGAAUGUGUGCACUUCACGAUAAUGUGUGAUUUGAAUGUUAGAUUUAGUGCCGAUGAAUUUAAAGUUGGUGUUUAUUUGAGAGAGGUGUUUGUCUUAUGUUGAUGUUUGUGUGAGGGUGGUUUUGUUUACAUUUUUUAGGCAUUUAUUAUGAUUUAUUUUAGGCAUUUUGUAUGAUUGCUUGAUUGUUUGAGGCA